AUUGCGCUAACUUUCACCACAAAAUACAUCACAUAAACAAAGUGGUGAUAGAGGUACUUAGGACAUAGUGAUGAAAAAAAGGCAUUUACCAUGGAGACGAAGGACAUGCUGAUUGGCUGGUUUUCUGUGGUUGCUGCUGUGUUUAUAAUUCUCAUAUUUGUUGCCUUUGGCUGGUAUUUAGUAUGGUGGCUGUACCUGUCGCAGUUCAAGUUCAUUCGAGAGCUCUUGGGCAACCAGCAGGAAGCCAGCCCUUCAGUGGAGGAACUAAAGCACGCAAGGUCCCGGACGUCACGCAAAGUGCGCCGGGAAUAGGAGCAUCCUGUCCCCCUCCCUCUUCCCCCAGAAGCUAUCACCUGCAAUUCUCAUCCAUGUCACAAGCGGUUUAGGUGAGGGAACAGUGGUCCAUGUAACUUUUUAUUUGAUUGCUCCAAGCUGCUCUUCUAAGAUCCAGACACGAUGAAGUGCUUUACACCAACAAUUACCAGUCCAUUGCUCAAGCCAUACGACCGCGUUCCCCAACGGCGGAAAAGGUUCACCACAACGCUAAAAGGACCGUAGGAUUGGGUGCAGUGAUCCUGCGAAUGAAUUUGCCUGCCUCUUGUGUCAUCAUCAAAUUGAUUUUAUGGAAUGGUCUCUGUUGAUUUGAUUUACUGUAGAUUACCACGUCCUCUCCUUGCAUCGCCUACGUAAGAACAAAUAUGCAUAGUUUUCCGAUUUUGUUGUUUGUUUUUCUAUGAUUUCUUGCAAUCUCUUUUUCCUCUCUCUAGUCCCCCAAAGAGGAAAAGAGAAAGUAAAACUACACAUUUUGCAGUAUAAAGCAAAUUUAUGGUUGAAAGUAGAUUUGAAUUAUAGAUAUAUUUAUAUGAAGAAUAACAAAGGAAGUGCUGGUAACUCUUUGAUAAGGCUAAAUAUGAUAAGAAUUCCCUAACGACAAUUUAAUCAUGAUUCGAGACAGUUGAUUGUAUGGACAUGUCAUAAUACAAGAAACACCAAACAAAAACAAACAAAAUCCUGAUGAAUUUUGUACUCAAGAGAUUAUAAUAUACAAAAAGAAUAAAAAGAAACUAACAGAUAAAAAGAGAGAUUACUCAAAGCAAUUGUAUUUCUAUGGUUGCCCCCACAGAUGUUUUUUUUCUGAAUGGGAAAAAUCCUAUUAUUUAAGAAUGAUAAAUGAUGUUGUAUUAGCUCUCUUGUUAUAUAUUUUGUACAUUUUCAGACAUUUCAUGUAUACAUAGACUGUGGUAUAUUUAUUGAUUUAGAGAGUGGAAACAAAGAAUAAAAUGCCCAUUGUAUUUUUGUAUAUUGUGAAUCAAAUUUGGGUAUAUAUAUGUAAGUGUAAUAUAGUCAUUUGAGUUAUGUUUUUUCCCCACUUUUAUAGAGGGUUUGACAGUGUGUUAUUUUUUGAGCUUACGAAGUGGGCAAUAAUGCUGUAGAGUGAAGAAUUUUGAUUGUCGACCUUAGUAUUUUUCUGUUUGAAAAUAAAGCUGAUGAUUUUUA
rnacentral:lncRNA from 1 species